UGUGCUGUGGCCAAGAAUAGGCCGAGGCAGACAUCAGGGCCAGUGUGAAAACAAUGGGUACACAUGGACAUAAAGAUAGAAAUAAUAGACACUGGGAACUCCAGAAGGGGGAAGUCUGGGAGAGGGAUGAGGAUUGAAAAACUGCUUAUUGGGUACAAUGUUUACUCUUCGCGUGAUAGAUUCACUAGAAGUUCAAACCCCACCAUUAUGCAAUAUAUCCAAGUAACAAACCUGCACAUGUACCUCCUGAAUCUAAAAUAAUGGAAAAUAAGAAAAAUACAUUAUUUUACUAUAAUUGAAUUAUUGGUAUUAGUUCUGGGAGGCUAUGUUUUUUAUAUUUAAAUUUUGGGCUGGAUAUGAAAAGUACAUUAUGUGAAAGGUAUCUGA
rnacentral:lncRNA from 1 species